GAUGAACGCUGGCGGCGUGCUUAACACAUGCAAGUCGAACGAUGAAGCCCAGCUUGCUGGGUGGAUUAGUGGCGAACGGGUGAGUAACACGUGAGUAACCUGCCCUUGACUCUGGGAUAAGCCUGGGAAACUGGGUCUAAUACUGGAUAUGACUUCUCAUCGCAUGGUGGGGGGUGGAAAGAUUUAUUGGUCUUGGAUGGACUCGCGGCCUAUCAGCUUGUUGGUGAGGUAAUGGCUCACCAAGGCGACGACGGGUAGCCGGCCUGAGAGGGUGACCGACCACACUGGGACUGAGACACGGCCCAGACUCCUACGGGAGGCAGCAGUGGGGAAUAUUGCACAAUGGGCGCAAGCCUGGUGCAGCGACGCCGCGUGAGGGAUGACGGCCUUCGGGUUGUAAACCUCUUUCAGUAGGGAAGAAGCGAGAGUGACGGUACCUGCAGAAGAAGCGCCGACUAACUACGUG
rnacentral:rRNA from 1 species